rnacentral:rRNA from 1 species
AGCGCAGGCGGUUUCUUAAGUCUGAUGUGAAAGCCUUCGGCUCAACCGAAGAAGUGCAUCGGAAACUGGGAAACUUGAGUGCAGAAGAGGACAGUGGAACUUCAUGUGUAGCGGUGAAAUGCGUAGAUAUAUGGAAGAACACCAGUGGCGAAGGCGGCUGUCUGGUCUGUAACUGACGCUGAGGCUCGAAAGCAUGGGUAGCAAACA